CGAUGGACACGAGGCGGCCAUCCACUCCCCUUGGCGCCCUACAAUGUUGCUCUCUCCCCCCUGCGAAACCCUAGCCGCAUCUCCUUCCUCUCCCUCGUGCCACGAUCUCCUCUGCUUGCACCGCCCGAGUGACACCGCCGCCAUGCCGCCUCCACAGACGCCCCCACCGGCCUCCCCAAGCCCUGAGACAGCGACCAGGAGGACAACCACCAUCGAAUUCGUCCAUCCCGAGCAUCAAAUCGAGCGGAGCUGCACCGAAUCGCCGCCAUCGAGUUCGUCUUCGACAUCCUGCACCGCCGGCCGCCAUCGUCGAUUCGCUCGACCCCGACCGUCCCCGGCCUCCCCAACCACGUCCGUGGCUCCUUGGUGAGCUUCUCCUCUGGAUUCCCCCUUCCACCGCCUCGAUUUGGUUGUCGUUUGCCGUCGCGAGCUCAUCCUAGUUCGCGUGUCCGCGUACAUACAUGCGUUCUUGUUGCUCGCGCUGCUCCGGCUACCGACGCACGCAGUGCGCGGGCGCAUCCGCGCACGCCAAUGCCUGUGCUCGCCGUGCCUACGCGCCUCACACCGUGGCCUCGUCUCCGGCCGUCGCGCCCGCCUCCGCCUGUUUGCGCCGCCCGCCUGCGGCGGCCUGGGCCGUCAUCCGCCUCGCCCGGCUCAACCGGUUGCGUCCGCCUCCUCCUACCCUGCUCGCUCGCCGGCGACCGCGCCGGCCAUCCCCCACCGUGGCCGGCCUGGGCCAGUGCCCAGUCAGGCCGCCCCCUGCCCGUUUAGGCUGGGCAGCCCCGGUAACCCGCCCCGCUAGGCCACUGGGCCUAUGACAUAUGGGGCCCACGUCCCCUUUUAUUUUCAUAAAAAUGUAUAUAUAUAUAAUUAAGUUAAUAAUUAAUUAACUUAAUUAACUAUACUUAAUUAGCUUAACUAACUUGAUUAGUUAAAUACAAUUGUUUGUUUAGUUUGGUCUAUGACAGAACGACCCCACACGUCAGUAUGACCAGUCAACGCUCUGUUGACUGCUGACAUCAUGUUGACGUCACGCUGACAUCAUAAUUCCAAUUUUGAAUUAAUUAUAAUUUCAAUAAAUGUUUAAAGCUUUGAAAAAUAAUAUAAAAUAAUCCGUAACUCGGAUGAAAAUGUUUUGUACAUGAAAGUUGCUCAGAACGACGAGACGAAUCCGAAUACGCAGACCGUUCGUCCGCCACACGUCCCUAGCAUAGCAAACAUUGAACUUUCCCCCUCCGGUUCAUCUGUCUAACAGACGUCCAGGUCCGGGAAGACUUUCCCGGAUGUUUCCCCCUUCGCCAGUAUCGCCUAACGCUGCGUUAAAACACCUCUAGCCCCACUUAUAAUCAUAUUAUGCAUAUGUUUGCGUGUAUUUACUGUUUCUUCCCCUCUCUCCGGUAGACCUUGAGACCGUUGUUGAUGCCACUGUGAUCGACUACGUCACUGACAACACUUCUUCCCUUUCAGUGGAGCUUCCAGGCAAGCCACCCCUUUGAUCAUCCCGAUAUCGCCCAUUCUAUACUCUCAUGCUUGCAUUAGAUUUUGCUACUGUUAUUGUUUGCUCCUAUUCUGAUGCAUAGCCUGCUUUUGUACCUACUAUUGUUACCUACCUGCUUAUCCUAAACUCCUUAGUAUAGGUUGCUAAGUGAUCCAUCAGUGACCCCCACUUGUCCUUGUUGCCCCUGCUUCAUCAUCGACGACUCGAUCAGCGUGAUCGACGACCAGAGCCCGACACCUCACAUCACAUCACGCCCUUUUGUUGCUCGACUCUGUAGAGCUACUAUCGAGUGCCAAGGGUGAUCCCUCAUAACGCACUCCUGAUGAUAAUUCUGUAGUGUAGCUAUUCGGUCGUGGUCAUCGAGGGUGAUUUCCUCUUUCACCAUUCCCGAUACAGCUCCGUCGUUCAACACCUCAAGUGUGAACCUUGAGGGUGGUCCCUCUUACGUUCACCUUGAUGAUUACAUUGAGUGGAAUCCUCCGUGGGUGAUUCCACGGGUUUUCCCCUUGAUGUUUGGACACACGGUUACCUUGACUUUAGUUGAUACCAUUGUUGAAGUCGGGUCGGCCCUGAGGGGUACCCGCGAGUUGAUGUGAAAGUCGGGCGGACCCGUAGAGCACCCACGAGUUUUCCACAUGGCACGGCCGGGCAGUCCGGGCCCUUGCCGUAAGUCCAUGAGACGGGGUGACUGGGUCACCUUAUUGUGAGUCUCUACUCAUUUCCGCGAGCCCCCAAUGCACUAACAGGUUUGGGUAUUUGUUCUGAGUUGGCCUCUGGCCUUUACGCACUAACCACCACGCGAGAAUAGAUAUGGGCCUCGACGUCGCAGUAUCAGCCGAAGCUGUCAGACGUCUAGUUCAGCAUCAUGGCACGGUCGGAUCGUGCUGGCCAUCCGAGGCGGUGCUGGUAUCCACCUUGCACACAACGACCCGGAGUGCUGCGGGCGAUGGGCCCAAGACCCCGGAGUGCUUAGGAUGUAGACCGGCGGGGACCUCUCUGCUGAGCCUAGGUAGGGCUGCUACGUGUUGAUCUUCCAAGGGCGGGCAUUGACCCCAGAAAGGUGUGUCCGGCCAGAGUGAUCGAGCAUGUUGGGUAACGUGGUGCACCCCUGCAGGGAAGAUAUAUAUUCGAAUACCGUGUCCGCGGUAAUGGACGUUCGGACUUAUAUCCGGAUCUUAUAUAACUAGAAAUGGAUACUUGAGAUAUGUGAUGGAUAUGUGGCUCCGAGAUUACUUUCCCGCAGGGAGUCGGGGAAGGAUUUCUGGGCAUUGAUGUUACAACAUGCUUGUUAAAUAUUAAAAUGCUACUCUUUACUCUUCUACAUGCUGCAAGAUGCUUGGAGCUGCUUGAAGAUGCUAGUCUUUGAUAGGCUAGGCCUUCCCCUCUAUUCUAGCAUUCUACAGUUCAGUCCAGAGAUACAACCCUUCCGUUUGAUACCAAUGCAUACUUAGUAUAGAUCAGAUGCUUGCGAGUACUUUGGAUGAGUACUCACGGUUGCUUUGUUACCCCUUUCCCCCCUUCUUUCUUCUUUCUGGUUGGUGCAACCAGAUGGUGGAUCCCUGGAGCCAGAUGCCACCGCCGAUGGAUGCUGCUACAUGGAGACCAUCGAUGACUAGGAGUAGUUAUAGGAGGUCCCAGGCAGGAGGCCUUGCCUCUUCGAUCGUGUUGCUUUUGUGCUAGCCUUCUUAAGGCAUCCUUGUUUAACUUAUGUCUGUACUCAGAUAUUGCUGCUUCCGCUGAAUCUUGUGUAUCGAGCUUGUAUUCGAGCCCUCGAGGCCCCUGGCUUGUAAUAUAAAGCUUGUAUUAUUUUGAUUUGUGUCUAGAGUUGUGUUGUGAUAUCUUCCCGCGAGUCUCUAAUCUUGAUCGUACACAUUUGCGUGUAUGAUUAGUGUACGAUUGAAUCGGGGGCGUCACAACAGAUACUACCCAUUUUUUGAUACCGAUGCAUAUGUAGUGUAGAUCCUCGCUUGCGAGUAUUUUG
rnacentral:lncRNA from 1 species